GACGAACGCUGGCGGCGUGCUUAACACAUGCAAGUCGAACGAUGAAGCCGGAGCUUGCUCCGGUGGAUUAGUGGCGAACGGGUGAGUAACACGUGAGCAAUCUGCCCUUGACUCUGGGAUAACUGCGGGAAACUGUAGCUAAUACCGGAUACGACACCUUGGGGCAUCCCAGGGCGUGGAAAGAAUUUCGGUCAAGGAUGAGCUCGAGGCCUAUCAGCUAGUUGGUGAGGUAAUGGCUAACCAAGGCGACGACGGGUAGCCGGCCUGAGAGGGUGACCGGCCACACUAGAACUGAGACACGGUCCAGAGUCCUACGGGAGGCAGCAGUGGGGAAUAUUGCACAAUGGGCGAAAGCCUGGUGCAGCAACGCCGCGUGAUGGAUGAAGGCCUUCGGGUUGUAAACCUCUUUUAGCAGGGACUAAGCGAAAGUGACGGUACCUGCAGAAAAAGCACCGGCUAACUACGUGCCAGCCGCCGCGGUAA
rnacentral:rRNA from 1 species